GCAAGUCGAACGGGAUUUUUAGAAGCUUGCUUCUGAAAUGAGAGUGGCAGACGGGUGCGUAACACGUGGGAACCAACCCAAAAGUGGGGGAUAGCUCGCUGAAAAGCGAAUUAAUACCGCAUGUGGUCGAAAGACCAAAGAAGGCUUUUGCUUUCGCUUUUGGACGGGCCCGCGCCCUAUCAGCUUGUUGGUGAGGUAAAAGCUCACCAAGGCUACGACGGGUAACUGAUCUUAGAGGAUGAUC
rnacentral:rRNA from 1 species